rnacentral:lncRNA from 10 species
GCUUAUUGAAGAUCCAGUUGUAAAUGGGGUCACCUUGUGUUUGGGAGUGUUGGAACCUUUAUAUUCAAAUCAAGGCCGGGCACGGUGGCUCACGCCUGUAAUCUCAGAAUUCUGGGACGCCGAGUCGGACGGAUCACCUGAAGUCCGAAGUUCGAGACCAGCCUGGCCGCCUUGGCGAAACCCCGUCUCCACUAAAAAUACGAAAUAAAUUAGCCGGGAGUAAUGGCGCGCGCCUGUAAUCCCAGCUAGCCGGGUGGCUGAGGCACGAGAAUCGCUUGAACCCGGAGGUUGUAGUGAGCCGAGAUCGUGCCACUGGACGGCGACAGAGCGAGACUGUCUCAAAAAGAAAAAAAAAAGAACAAAUCUAAUGUGUGAUUUUUGUAUAACUUUUUCUUCUUUCCUCUUUUUUGUUUUUUAGAGUCAAAAUACUACUCUAUCGCCCAGGCUAUAGUGCAGUGGCAAGAUCAUAGCUCAUUGUAACCUGAACUCCUGGGCUCAAGCGAUGCUGCGGACUCAGUCUCCCGAAGCGGUGGGAUGACAGGCGUGAGCCACUGCGCUUGCCACAUUUCUCAUUAUUUAUAGAGCCAAAAUAGUAGAGGACAACAUGCAGCAGGAAUCACUGAGGAUACAUAGCCAAUUUUGAAGUUUGGGAACUCAAAAAACUGCAGCAAUGGGGGACAACCUGAAGGUGGAGAAAAAUGACAUUAAGGUGGAGAAAAAUGACAGGGUUAGUGGGUUUUCUCCUCGUGUGCGGAGACGAGAGAGUGUAGAAAUAGAGACACAAGACAAAGAGAUAAAAGACCGCUGGGCCCGGGGGACCACUACCACCAAGACGCGGAGACCGGUAGUGGCCCCGAAUGCCAGGCUGCGCUGAUAUUUAUUGGAUACGAGACAAAGGGGCAGGAUAAGGAGUGUGAGCCAUCUCCAAUGAUAGGUAAGGCCACAUGGGUCACGUGUCCACUGGACAGGGGGCCCUUUCCUGCCUGGCAGCCGAGGCAGAGAGAGAGAGAGGAGAAAGAGAGAAACAGCUUACACUAUUAUUUCUGCUUAUCAGAGAUUUUUAGUAUUUUCGCUAAUUUGCUACUGCUAACUAAAAGGCAGAGCCAGGUGUACAAGAUGGAACAUCAAGGCAGACUAGGAGCGUGACCACUGAAGCACAGCAUCACAGGGAGACGGUUAGGCCUCCGGAUAACCGCGGGCGGGCCUGACUAAUGUCAGGCCUUCCACAAGAGGUGGAGGAGUAGAGUCUUCUCUAAACUCCCCCGGGGAAAGGAAGACUCCCUUUCCCGGUCCGCUACUGCUAGACCACGGUCCGCUUGGCAAGGGGCAUCUUCCCAGACGCUGGCAUUACCGCUAGACCAAGGAGCCCUUUGGUGGCCCUGUCUGGGCAUAACAGAAGGCUCACACUCUUGUUUUCUGGUCACUUCUCACUAUGUCUCCUCAGCUCCUAUCUCUGUAUGGCCUGGUUUUUCCUAGGUUAUGAUUAUAGAGCGAGGAUUAUUAUAAUAUUGGAAUAAAGAGUAAUUGCUACAAACUACUGAUUAAUGAUAUAUAUAAUCAUAUCUAAGAUCUAUAUCUGGUAUAACUAUUCUUCUUUUAUAUUUUAUUAUACUGGAACAGCUCAUGUCCUCGGUCUCUUGUGUCGGCACCUGGGUGGCUUGCCGCCCACACAACCAAAUUAAAAAAUAACACAGAAGGGUAAGGUAAGUCUCCAUUAAACCCAGGAAAGAGACUGGAAAACUCCUCUUUGGAGCCUGUCUAUAGUCACAGGUGAAAUAAAAGAAAUAAAAGGAAAGAAAAAUGGGCAAAAGACUUGAAUAGACCUUUCCCCAAAGAAGAUAUACAAAUGGCCAAGAAGCACAUGAAAAGAUGCUCAACAUCAUUAGUCAUUAAGGAAAUGCAAAUCAUAACCAAGUUGAUAAAAUGCCACUUCACACCCACUAGGGUGGCUAAAAUUAAAACAAACAAAAAGCCGAAAAUGAGCGUUGGUAAGGAUGUGGAGAAAUUGGAACCCUCGGAUCUUGCUGGUGGGAAUGUAACAUGCUACAGUUGCUGUGGAAAACAGUGGCAGUUCCUCAA